GAUGAAGAACGUAGCGAAAUGCGAUAAGUAAUGCGAAUUGCAGAAUCCGUGAGUCAUCGAAUCUUUGAACGCACAUUGCGCCCUUUGGUAUUCCGAAGGGCAUGCCUGUUCGAGCGUCAUUAUCACCACUCAAGCCCGGCUUGCUGUUGUUGGCAGCGCAGCCGGUCAACCGGCUACGCUCCACCCAAAGAUAAUGACGGCGUCUGCGAGGACUCCUGUACAUUGAGCUUUCGGGCACGUACAUGGCUAGAAGUCCAGGCGCCGGUCGACGUCCUCCGGGACACUUUUUACCAAGGUUGACCUCGGAUCAGGUAGGGAUACCCGCUGAACUUAAGCAUAUCAAUAAGCGGAGGA
rnacentral:misc_RNA from 1 species